rnacentral:rRNA from 1 species
AACGAACGCUGGCGGCAUGCCUAACACAUGCAAGUCGAACGAGACCUUCGGGUCUAGUGGCGCACGGGUGCGUAACGCGUGGGGACCUGCCCUUAGGUUCGGAAUAACUCCCCGAAAGGGGUGCUAAUACCGGUUAAUGUCUUCGGACCAAAGAUUUAUCGCCUUUGGAUGGGCCCGGGUUGGAUUGGCCAGUUGGUAGGGAAAAAGCCUACCAAGGCGACGUAUCAUAGCUGGUCUGAGAGGAUGAACAGCCACACUGGGACUGAGACACGGCCCGGACCCCUACGGGAGGGAGGAGUAGAGAAUAUUGGACAAUGGGCGAAAGCCUGAUACAGCAAUGCCGCGUAAGUGAUGAAGGCCUUAGGGUUGUAAAGCUCUUUUACCCGAGAUGAUAAUGACAGUACCGGGAGAAUAAGCACCGGCUAACUCCGUG